AUUGAACGCUGGCGGCAGGCCUAACACAUGCAAGUCGAACGAGUGGCGGACGGGUGAGUAAUGUAUGGGAAACUGCCCGAUGGAGGGGGAUAACUACUGGAAACGGUAGCUAAUACCGCAUACCAUCGGAUGUGCCCAGAUGGGCGUCGCUAGUGGGUGGGGUAACGGCUCACCUAGGCGACGAUCCCUACCUGGUCUGAGAGGAGGACCAGCCACACUGGAACUGAUACACGGUCCAGACUCCUACGGGAGGCAGCAGUGGGGAAUAUUGCACAAUGGGCGCAAGCCUGAUGCAGCCAUGCCGCGUGUAUGAAGAAGGCCUUCGGGUUGUAAAGUACUUUCAGCGAGGAGGCGUUACUCGCAGAAGAAGCACCGGCUAACUCCGUGCCAGCAGCCGCGGUAAUAC
rnacentral:rRNA from 1 species